rnacentral:rRNA from 1 species
GGGGGGGGGUGGGGGCGGGGGGGGGGGGUGGAGGGCGGGGGGGGGCACAGGUGGCGGGGCGGGGUGGCGACGGGCGGACGGGUGAGGAAGGCGUAUGCAACUUACCUAUCAGAGGGGGAUAACCCGUCGAAAGUCGGACUAAUACCGCAUGGAGCAGGGGUCCCGGAUGGGGAGAUUUGCUAAAGAUGCAUCGCUGAUAGAUAGGCAUGCGAUCCCUUAGGCAGUUGGCGGGGUAAAGGCCCACCAAACCCGCGAUGGAUAGGGGUUCUGAGAGGAAGGUCCCCCACAUUUGUACUGCGACAAGGACCAAACUCCUACGGGAGGCAGCAGUGAGGAAUAUUGAUCAAUGGCCGAGAGGCUGAACCAGCCAAGUCGCGUGAGGGAUGAAGGUUCUAUGGAUCGUAAACCUCUUUUAUAAGGGAAGAAAGUGCGGGACGUGUCCCGUUUUGUAUGUACCUUAUGAAUAAGGAUCGGCUAACUCCGUG